rnacentral:rRNA from 1 species
UACGAAGGGUGCAAGCGUUACUCGGAAUUACUGGGCGUAAAGCGCGCGUAGGCGGCUUUGUAAGUUAGAGGUGAAAGCCCGGAGCUCAACUCCGGAAUUGCCUUUAAGACUGCAUCGCUAGAAUCAUGGAGAGGUUAGUGGAAUUCCGAGUGUAGAGGUGAAAUUCGUAGAUAUUCGGAAGAACACCAGUGGCGAAGGCGACUAACUGGACAUGUAUUGACGCUGAGGUGCGAAAGCGUGGGGAGCAAACAGG